AUGAGAUCAUUUCCGCGCUUCAAUUUGACAACCGGAGCCCUCUCCGGCGAAGCCCACAACCACCCGACGCCGCCGUCCACCGGAGUCGACCUCGCUGUCGUCCUGGUGCUCGCCGGCGACCACCACCACUACCAACCGAUGCGGGGUGCCACCCCGAACGCAUCCCGACCAUCGCCGCCUCCUGAAACACUGGCGAUCGCCACCGAAAGCGAAGAGGGGGACUAUACCGAGAGUUUUGAAGAACCUCUUGCUGAUUACUUUGGUCAAGACCUGGAGGAGGACGAGCUUGCCGAGGAGGACUGCGCUAGCGAGCCCAAUGCGUAG
rnacentral:rRNA from 1 species